UACAGAGGUCCCAAGCGUUGUUCGGAUUUACUGGGCGUAAAGGGUGCGUAGGUGGCGAGGUAAGUUUGAUGUGAAAUCUCCGAGCUCAACUCGGAAAUGGCAUUGAAUACUAUCCCGCUUAAGGGUCGGAGGGGAGACUGGAAUUCUCGGUGUAGCAGUGAAAUGCGUAGAUAUUGAGAGGAACACCAGUGGCGAAGGCGAGUCUCUGGACGACUCCUGACACUGAGGCACGAAAGCUGGGGGAGCAAACAGG
rnacentral:rRNA from 1 species